GUCUAUGGCCAUACCACCCUGCAAGCGCCUGAUCUUGGAAGCUAAGCAGGGUUGGGCCUGCUUAGUACUUGAAUGGGAGACUGUCUGGAAAUACCAGGUGCUGUUGGUG
rnacentral:rRNA from 1 species